UACGUAGGGUGCAAGCGUUGUCCGGAAUUAUUGGGCGUAAAGAGCUCGUAGGCGGCUUGUCGCGUCGACUGUGAAAACCCGCGGCUCAACCGCGGGCCUGCAGCCGAUACGGGCAGGCUAGAGGAUUGGAGAGGUAGCUGGAAUUCUUGGUGUAGCAGUGAAAUGCGUAGAGAUCAAGAGGAACACUCGUGGCGAAAGCGAGCUACUGGACAAUUCCUGACGCUGAGGCUCGAAGGCUAGGGUAGCGAAAGGG
rnacentral:rRNA from 1 species